rnacentral:rRNA from 1 species
UACGAGGGGGGCGAGCGUUGUUCGGAAUUAUUGGGCGUAAAGGGUGCGUAGGCGGUUCCGCAAGUCCUGUGUGAAAUCUUCGGGCUCAACUCGAAGUCUGCACGGGAAACUGCGGGGCUUGAGUGUGGGAGAGGUGAGUGGAAUUCCCGGUGUAGCGGUGAAAUGCGUAGAUAUCGGGGAGGAACACCUGUGGCGAAAGCGGCUCACUGGACCAUAACUGACGCUGAUGCACGAAAAGCUGGGGGGAGCAAACAGG